rnacentral:rRNA from 1 species
AGUGAACGCUGGCGGCGUGCUUAACACAUGCAGGUCGAACGAGAACGGAUUAUAGCUUGCUAUAAUUGUCAGCUAAGUGGCGCACGGGUGAGUAAUAUAUAGAUAACCUGCCCUCUAGAAAGGAAUAACAGUUGGAAACGACUGCUAAUGCCCUAUAUGCCUUUAAUACAUAAGUAUGCAAGGGAAACGCUUUAGUGCUAGAGGAUGGGUCUGUAUGGUAUCAGCUUGUUGGUGAGGUAAUGGCUCACCAAGGCUAUGACGCCUAACUGGUUUGAGAGGACAGUCAGUCACACUGGAACUGAGACAAGGUCCAGACUCCUACGGGAGGCAGCAGUGGGGAAUAUUUCACAAUGGACGAAAGUCUGAUGCAGCAACGCCGCGUGGAGGAUGACACAUUUCGGUGCGUAAACUCCUUUUAUAUAGGAAGAUAAUGACGGUACUAUAUGAAUAAGCACCGGCUAACUCCGUGCCAGCCGCCGCAGUAAGAC